UACGUAGGCAGCGAGCGUUGUUCGGAAUCACUGGGCGUAAAGGGCGCGUAGGCGGCAGGCCAAGCGUGCGGUGAAAGUCCGGGGCUCAACCCCGGAUCUGCCGUGCGGACUGGUUUGCUAGAGCACUGUAGAGGCGAGUGGAAUUCCGGGUGUAGCGGUGGAAUGCGUAGAGAUCCGGAAGAACACCGGUGGCGAAGGCGGCUCGCUGGGCAGUGGCUGACGCUGAGGCGCGACAGCGUGGGGAGCAAACAGG
rnacentral:rRNA from 1 species